rnacentral:rRNA from 1 species
GAUGAACGCUAGCUACAGGCUUAACACAUGCAAGUCGAGGGGCAGCAUUUUAGUUUGCUUGCAAACUGAAGAUGGCGACCGGCGCACGGGUGAGUAACACGUAUCCAACCUGCCGAUAACUCCGGAAUAGCCUUUCGAAAGAAAGAUUAAUACCGGAUAGCAUACGAAUAUCGCAUGAUAUUUUUAUUAAAGAAUUUCGGUUAUCGAUGGGGAUGCGUUCCAUUAGUUUGUUGGCGGGGUAACGGCCCACCAAGACUACGAUGGAUAGGGGUUCUGAGAGGAAGGUCCCCCACAUUGGAACUGAGACACGGUCCAAACUCCUACGGGAGGCAGCAGUGAGGAAUAUUGGUCAAUGGGCGAGAGCCUGAACCAGCCAAGUAGCGUGAAGGAUGAAGGCUCUAUGGGUCGUAAACUUCUUUUAUAUGGGAAUAAAGUUUUCCACGUGUGGAAUUUUGUAUGUACCAUAUGAAUAAGGAUCGGCUAACUCCGUGCCAGCAGCCGCGGUAAUACGGAGGAUCCGAGCGUUAUCCGGAUUUAUUGGGUUUAAAGGGAGCGUAGGUGGAUUGUUAAGUCAGUUGUGAAAGUUUGCGGCUCAACCGUAAAAUUGCAGUUGAAACUGGCAGUCUUGAGUACAGUAGAGGUGGGCGGAAUUCGUGGUGUAGCGGUGAAAUGCUUAGAUAUCACGAAGAACUCCGAUUGCGAAGGCAGCUCACUAGACUGUUACUGACACUGAU